rnacentral:rRNA from 1 species
CCUACGGGGGGCUGCAGUGGGGAAUAUUGGACAAUGGGGGCAACCCUGAUCCAGCCCUGCCGCGUGUGUGAAGAAGGCCCUCGGGUUGUAAAGCACUUUCAGUGAGGAAGAACGCCUGGUGGUUAAUACCCAUCAGGAAAGACAUCACUCACAGAAGAAGCACCGGCUAACUCCGUGCCAGCAGCCGCGGUAAUACGGAGGGUGCGAGCGUUAAUCGGAAUUACUGGGCGUAAAGCGCGCGUAGGUGGCUUGAUAAGCCGGUUGUGAAAGCCCCGGGCUCAACCUGGGAACGGCAUCCGGAACUGUCAAGCUAGAGUGCAGGAGAGGAAGGUAGAAUUCCCGGUGUAGCGGUGAAAUGCGUAGAGAUCGGGAGGAAUACCAGUGGCGAAGGCGGCCUUCUGGACUGACACUGACACUGAGGUGCGAAAGCGUGGGUAGCAAACAGGAUUAGAUACCCUGGUAGUC